rnacentral:lncRNA from 1 species
AUUGCCGGUGCGUCAGCUUGGCACAUCGCCAAGUUACACGUAAGGCCCGACUAAGAUGGUGUGGUUUCUAUUGGCCAGAGGAGAAGAUAGGCGGGAGUGGAAAAUUCCCUCAAUGAAACAGACAUGAGCAGACGACGAAGUUAGGUAAAGUACAUUGUCAGCAGGCUAAGGAACAGGAUGGGAAAGUAUAAGAAGAAUAACACAAACUCCAGGUCUAGAGGCAAAAAUUUCUCGGAAUAUCGAACCGUCCCCCUAUGAAAGGCUUGUUACUGAGAUACGCAGAAUAUCUUAACGUUCAAAACAAUGUUAAAAAUAAUAAUGAUGACAUAGAGUACACAGAAAAGUGACUAAGUUAGUAUUAACUAAUGGAUCACUAGCUGAAAAACUAUAAGCCUAAGAAGAAACAAUCGGUCCAAGAAACUUGAUACUGUUAGCGAGAAAUUGGGUCGGAAGAGAAAACGACACGAGGGAAAGACAGGGAAGACGCAGAACGUCUCCGAAACGGGAGGUAACUGGAAAAGAAAACACUUCACUAAAGCAACUAUGUGAAUAGAUUAUUGUCUGUUUGUUUGUUUUAAGUUAAGCAUAAAGCUACAUAAUGGACUAUCUGUGCUCUGCCCACCACGGGUAUCGAAAUCUGGUUUCUAGCGUUGUAAGUACCGAUGUGCCCCUGGGGGUCAUGUAAAUAGAACACUGGCAGAGUCACAUGACAGCCAGACUGUGAUAACCGAAAUAUUCGUGACACAUAAAAGUUAAAUAAUGCAUAGACGAAUAUCAAUUUAUCUUUUAUAAAAUUUGUUAUUGAUAUAACCUUAGUAUUUUCCCAAAAAUUAUCAUUUUAAACGUCAAUACUGACUUUCUGCUACCACAAACAGCCAUCGGUUUAUAUUAAAUCAAAGAAAGGUGAUAGAACAUGUGUGAUUUAGAUGGGUAGUGUGGUUAUCUUUGCGUUAAUAUAAAAUGGAUCAUUUCUUAACUUAAAUGUGUGUAUACACUAUUUUAUCACCUGUUUGCAGAUACUUUUGUAUCUCAAAUUUAUCUCUCUUGAAAACGUAAUGCGACUACAUUAUCACCUCUGCAACUUUUCAAGAAGAGUCAGUACAACAUCUGGCAUAUGAUCCGACUGGACAAACGUUCAGUUAGUGUUUGUUAGAGAGCUACAAUGUUUAUAGUAAGGAGAAGAGAUACAGACUUUAUGAUAUUAGGAAUACAUCUUGUGAUAUUAGGAAUAUAUCUUGUGAUAUUAAGAAUAUAUCUUGUGAUAUCAGGAAUAUAUCUUGCAAUAUUAGGAAUUUAUCUUAAGCGCAGAGUCUUCUCUAUUGUCAAGGGGGUUAAUCUUACUUUAUAAAAACCUAUUUGCAUACGCUAAUGUAGCGGUGCUUCGCCGCAGUAAGGAGCUGUGGCGUUACGGACAUUUAACAGUGCAAUGCCUCUAACGCUAAUAUCAGCUUCAGAAUUAUAUGACCGUUCUUUCCGAAUGAGAAUUAUUCAUAUAGCUAGCUCGUUAAACGAUGUAUAACUAAAGAACACAGCAUUUUAAAAAGAUAAGCCUUCACUGCUAUUCGUGGAAAAACAAAUGAUAACACAGAAUAGCUUUUGGGGCAAUAAGGGACUCCGAAAACACACCCAAAGUCAAGCCGGAACAAUAAACCAUCUGCAAAGUGAAGACUAUGAUUACGAUAGAGAACCUUCCGACCUACAAAGCUAUUGCAAUAAAGCUGAGGGACUUUUACUGGUACAUAUAACAAGAUAUAAAAAAAAUCACUUGAAACUGCGGAGAGGUCACAAGCUUCCAGCCAUAUCUCCGAAUCAAUGACUCUUUAAUGAGAAAGGUGGUAGAAGCAACUGAAAUAACAUUUAUCUCAUUCUACCACGUACCCGUGAAGUCCUCUCCAUACAACGACAAUGCUCUUUUGUGCCUUUUUUCCGUUUACAGGUGUACUUGGAAUCCGAUGUUCAUGUUCAACAGAGUAUCUGUAGAAAAUCAUAGAGAUGUGCAGUCUAAGACUGAACUCACUGUCCUUCACUGAAACGUAUUAUAAUGGAAACUGCAACAUUGGACCUCACUGACGUCCAGUCCAUUACAAUGGAAAGCAGUAUUGGGUAUUACUGAUGUCACUGCAGAGCUGAGGAUCACUGAAGUUCAUUAAAAUGGAAUCUGCAGAGUUGAAGAUUACUGAAGUUCAUUAAAAUGGAAAGUGCAGAGUUGAGGAUCACUGAAGUUCAUUAAAAUGGAAACUGCAGUACUGGACAUCACUGAGACACAUUACAAUGGAAACUGUAGUACUGGACAUCACUGAAGUUCAAUACAAUGGAAACUGUAUCACUGAACAUCACUGAAGUUCAAUACAAUGGAAACUGUAGUAUUGGACAUCACUGAAAGUCAAUACAAUGGAAACUGCAGUACUGGACAUCACUAA